rnacentral:rRNA from 1 species
UACGAAGGGGGCUAGCGUUGUUCGGAAUCAUUGGGCGUAAAGCGCGCGUAGGCGGUUACUUAUGUCGGAUGUGAAAGCCCUCGGCUUAACUGAGGAAGUGCAUUCGAAACUGGGUAGCUAGAGUACUAAAGAGGGUCGCGGAAUUCCCGGUGUAGAGGUGAAAUUCGUAGAUAUCGGGAGGAACACCGGUGGCGAAGGCGGCGAUCUGGGUCGAUACUGACGCUGAGGUGCGAAAGCGUGGGGAGCAAACAGG